rnacentral:rRNA from 1 species
UUAACCCAUGUGAAUAGGCAAUCGGCGUAAAGAGUGUUUAGGAUAUUAAUAUAAUGAAACUAAAAAAUGACUUAGCUGUAAAAAGCUCAAGUCAUAUAUUAAAAUUAACUACAAAAGUGUUUUCAUAAAAUCUUAUUACACGUGAGCUAAGACCCAGACUAGGAUUAGAUACCCUAUUAUGCUUAGCCCUAAACUUAGAUGAUUAACUAACAAAAUUAUACGCCAGAGAACUACGAGCCACAGCUUAAAACUCAAAGGACUUGGCGGUGCUUUAUACCCUCUAGAGGAGCCUGUUCUAUAAUCGAUAAACCCCGAUCAACCUUACCAAUCUUUGCUAAUUCAGCCUUUAUACCGCCAUCUUCAGCUAACCCUAAAAAGGAAAAAAAGUAAGCGCAAUAAUCCAAAACAUAAAAAAGUUAGGUCAAGGUGCAGCCUAUAGAUUGGAAUGUAAUGGGCUACAUUCUUUUUUAAAAAGUACAACGGAAAUUUUCAUGAAACUGAAAAUUGAAGGAGGAUUUAGCAGUAAAUUAAGAGUAGAGUGCUUAAUUGAACUUGGCAAUGAAGCAUGCACACACCGCCCGUCACCCUCUUCAA